AUGUAUGAUGAUAGGAAACAUAGAACACCAGACUAUGGAAAACUUCCUCAAAGCUAAGCAGUGUCAGGCCUGGUUAGUACUUGGAUGGGAGACCACCUAGGAAGACCAGGUACUGUAGACG
rnacentral:rRNA from 1 species